rnacentral:rRNA from 1 species
CCUACGGGUGGCAGCAGUAGGGAAUCUUUCACAAUGGGCGAAAGCCUGACGGAGCAACGCCGCGUGCAGGAUGAAGGCCUUCGGGUUGUAAACUGCUUUUAUCAGCGAGAAAUAAGCUGACAACUCCUGACUAAUGAUCGACUAACUACGUGCCAGCAGCCGCGGGCAUACGUAGGAUCUGAGCAUUAUACUGAGUGUGUAGGUGUAAAGAGUUGCGUAUGUGCGAGAAGAAGAAGCUAGUGUAAUCUGGUGGCUAAACCAUUCAGACUGUUAGCUAAACGGUUAAGCCCGAGACCGUGAGAGGUAAAUGGAAGUUGGAGUGUAGGAGUGAAAGCCGUAGAUAUUAGAAGGAACACCAAUAGCGUAGGCAGGUUACUGGGACGGUUCUGACACUAAGGCACGAAAGCGUAGGGAGCAAACGGGAUUAGAGACCCGGGUAGUC